rnacentral:rRNA from 1 species
GACGAACGCUGGCGGCGUGCUUAACACAUGCCAGUCGAACGGAAAGGCCCUGCUUUUGUGGGGUGCUCGAGUGGCGAACGGGUGAGUAACACGUGAGUAACCUGCCCUUGACUUUGGGAUAACUUCAGGAAACUGGGGCUAAUACCGGAUAGGAGCUCCUGCUGCAUGGUGGGGGUUGGAAAGUUUCGGCGGUUGGGGAUGGACUCGCGGCUUAUCAGCUUGUUGGUGGGGUAGUGGCUUACCAAGGCUUUGACGGGUAGCCGGCCUGAGAGGGUGACCGGCAACAUGGGGACUGAGAUACGGCCCAGACUCCAACGGGAGGCAGCAGUGGGGAAAAUUGCACAAGGGGCGGAAGCCUGAUGCAGCAACGCCGCGUGCGGGAGGACGGCCUUCGGGUGGUAAACCGCUUUCGCCUGGAACGAAGCGUGAGUGACGGUAAUGGGUAAAGAAGCACCGGCUAACUACGU